rnacentral:rRNA from 1 species
GUGGGCAACCUGCCCUGAAGCGGGGGAUAACAUCUGGAAACAGGUGCUAAUACCGCAUAACAACGAAAACCACAUGGUUUUCGUUUCAAAGAUGGUUUCGGCUAUCACUUCAGGAUGGGCCCGCGGUGCAUUAGCUAGUUGGUAAGGUAACGGCUUACCAAGGCAAUGAUGCAUAGCCGAGUUGAGAGACUGAUCGGCCACAAUGGAACUGAGACACGGUCCAUACUCCUACGGGAGGCAGCAGUAGGGAAUCUUCCACAAUGGGCGCAAGCCUGAUGGAGCAACACCGCGUGAGUGAAGAAGGGUUUCGGCUCGUAAAACUCUGUUGUUGGAGAAGAACGUGCGUGAGAGUAACUGUUCACGCAGUGACGGUAUCCAACCAGAAAGUCACGGCUAACUACGUGCCAGCAGCCGCGGUAAUACGUAGGUGGCAAGCGUUAUCCGGAUUUAUUGGGCGUAAAGCGAGCGCAGGCGGUUGCUUAGGUCUGAUGUGAAAGCCUACGGCUUAACCGAAGAAGGGCAUCGGAAACCGGGCGACUUUGAGUGCAGAAGAGGACAGUGGAACUCCAUGUGUAGCGGUGGAAUGCGU